rnacentral:rRNA from 1 species
AUAAGCACCGGCUAACUACGUGCCAGCAGCCGCGGUAAUACGUAGGGUGCAAGCGUUAUCCGGAAUUAUUGGGCGUAAAGGGCUCGUAGGCGGUUCGUCGCGUCCGGUGUGAAAGUCCAUCGCUUAACGGUGGAUCCGCGCCGGGUACGGGCGGGCUUGAGUGCGGUAGGGGAGACUGGAAUUCCCGGUGUAACGGUGGAAUGUGUAGAUAUCGGGAAGAACACCAAUGGCGAAGGCAGGUCUCUGGGCCGUUACUGACGCUGAGGAGCGAAAGCGUGGGGAGCGAACAGGAUUAGAUACCCUGGUAGUCCACGCCGUAAACGGUGGAUGCUGGAUGUGGGGCCCGUUCCACGGGUUCCGUGUCGGAGCUAACGCGUUAAGCAUCCCGCCUGGGGAGUACGGCCGCAAGGCUAAAACUCAAAGAAAUUGACGGGGGCCCGCACAAGCGGCGGAGCAUGCGGAUUAAUUCGAUGCAACGCGAAGAACCUUACCUGGGCUUGACAUGUUCCCGACGAUCCCAGAGAUGGGGUUUCCCUUCGGGGCGGGUUCACAGGUGGUGCAUGGUCGUCGUCAGCUCGUGUCGUGAGAUGUUGGGUUAAGUCCCGCAACGAGCGCAACCCUCGCCCCGUGUUGCCAGCGGAUUAUGCCGGGAACUCACGGGGGACCGCCGGGGUUAACUCGGAGGAAGGUGGGGAUGACGUCAGAUCAUCAUGCCCCUUACGUCCAGGGCUUCACGCAUGCUACAAUGGCCGGUACAACGGGAUGCGACAGUGCGAGCUGGAGCGGAUCCCUGAAAACCGGUCUCAGUUCGGAUCGCAGUCUGCAACUCGACUGCGUGAAGGCGGAGUCGCUAGUAAUCGCGAAUCAGCAACGUCGCGGUGAAUGCGUUCCCGGGCCUUGUACACACCGCCCGUCAAGUCAUGAAAGUGGGCAGCACCCGAAGCCGGUGGCCUAACCCCUUGCGGGAGGGAGCCGUCUAAGGUGAGGCUCGUGAUUGGGACUAAGUCGUAACAAGGUAGCCGUACCGGAAGGUGCGGCUG